ensembl:lncRNA
CGCAGCCAUAUGCUGCGAGAGCUGGCGUCGGAAAUACAAGAAGAGAAAUCAGGUCAUGUGAACGCUGCCCUGAAUCUAUUGGCUGUUUCUGGCGGGAUUCUUUUUUUUGAUAAACAGCCAAGUUUUGGCGGAUUCUUUAGAACUGCUCAUGUUUAUUUUAGAUCUCCCACACACAUUACACGCACACACACACACACACACACACACACACACACACACACACACACACACACACACACACACACACACACACACACACACAGAAUGGGCAAGGUGCAAUGGAUGUGUUAGAGAAGAGGGUAGUGAGUCAGAAUGAUAGUAAGUGGAAAAUCAGGGUCGGGUUACUGGAGGAUGGCAAACAUGUUGUUAUAGAUCCAUAUCACAAUGAUGCUAGGGCUACUUCAACAUCUCUCAUUAUCUCCCCCUUCUUCUCACAGGUUGCAAUAUGAUGUAUGAUGUACGAUAUGAUGUACGUGUGUGAAUGUGGGAUUUUUCUUUUUUUGAGUGAGUGUGUGAGUGAGUGAGUGAGUGAGUGAGUGAGUGAGUGAGUGAGUGAGUGAGUGAGUGAGUGAGUGAGUGAGUGAGUGAGUCAGUGAGUGAGUGAGUGAGUGAGUGAGUGAGUGAGUGGGUGAUCGUGAGUGAGUGGUGAUGAGUGAGUGAGUGAGUGAGUGAGUGAGUGGCUGCGUGAGUAUUCGUGAACGUUAGAGAGAUAGUGUGAGCGUGUGAGUAAGUCAGUGUGUGUGUACAUGUGCGUGUGUGUUUGUGCUUGCAUGCAUGUGCGUUUGCGUGUGUGUGUGAGUUUAAGUGCGUGUGUGUGUGAGUUUAAGUGAGUGUGUGUCCCAGUAUCGGUCAUACCCUCCCCAAGCCAGUGCCAGUGCCCCAGUUGGCAGGGCUGUUCAGCGAGGGCAGAGAUACAACAGAAUCGCCGAGCCAUUAGGCUACACAUUAUCCAGAGGCACAUGACAACAUCGGCCUUGUCCCCACACACAGGCCGGACUGUGAGGCUUCGCUACGUCAGCAUGCAAGACCCGACGCGGAGGAGGAUGAGGAGGAGGAGGAGGGGG